UACAUGUCUGGUGUCCGCAGUGAGGACCUUCACGUCAAGGUCCGCCGUGGACUUUGGCUCACUCAGGCGGCCCACGCCGUCUCAACCGGCUCUCAGACUCCUGACAGCCGGCGACUGACCCCCGUCCUCUCCCACCGUCCCCUCUCUGCAGAUGACGUGCUGACUAAAGACGCGGGUGAGUGUGUGAUCUGCCUGGAGGAGCUGCUUCAGGGGGACACGAUAGCCAGGCUGCCCUGCCUGUGCAUUUAUCACAAAAGUUGCAUAGACUCGUGGUUUGAAGUGAACAGAUCUUGUCCAGAACACCCUGCGGACUGACCCUGCUGGGCUCGCUUGCUGACUCCUCUCAAUGGGACAGCCAGGGCCCCGUUGCUGAGAGGAGGCUUCGGACACUGGGGCAGAGCUGAGCUGGGGACAGCAGUGGGAACAGGGCGCCCUCCUGCACUGACUUCCAGAGAAUGGUCCCCCUUUCUCCCCGAGGACACCAGAUUGGAUGAGAGCCAGUUUGAGAGAAGAAAGAAUCACCCGCUAUCCUUCCCCUCAUCCUCAUCCCAGGAGGGAAAGGGCAUUUUCUUUUUCACCUUUGAAAGGCAUUGUGGGUCUGUCUCUAAAGUGUUUACAAAAAAAAAAAAAAAAUUAUAAAAAAAAGUCUAGUGUCGACUGGUGUGUUCCCUCGUGAUGUUUACAGAUCACUGUCUGCUGCCCGGCCAGAACCCACUCAGUGACAACCGAACAGAGCCGGGUUCUUGCCACUCGAGUGCCGAUGGCGCAGAGCGAGCUCACAGCCCUCCUGUGCCCGGCACCCAGCGGCCUCUCCAUCAACCACUCUGCCUUGGAUUUUUUGUUUGUUUUAUCCCCCCCCCCCAUUUUUCUGGCUUGAUUUUGCACUUUUCUCCCCUGGGGACCCUGAUAUCUUGACUUCGUUGCCAAAAACGAGCCCAUCAGGAUGUUCUCCCCCUCCUUCCCAUUUCUCUUUCCUCUUUCCCUCCUGGUUCUGGUCAGUUCAGAGGAUUUAACAACCACAAGUGUCCUGCAAAAAUGCCUGAACGUUUUUCCUAGACCCCUGUGUAUUUUUUUUCUUUUUUCCAGAAAACUUAGACAGACAAAAGACUAAAAGGAUGUGUACAGCUGCCCCUGUUUUCAGGCAUUCUGUUUGAGAACAUUUUAGCUGUUGAUGUUCAUGUGUGACAUCAGCUCCGGCGAGAUAGGUUUCUGUAUUUAUAUAUUAAAAUCCAAAACAAAAAAAAACCUUAUAAAAUGUUUAAAAAAUGUUCAAAGCUGGGGGAAAAGGCUUUCUUCAUUAGUCAAGGUGUUUUGAUAUGGUAUUAAAAUAAUGUCUAAUAAAAAGAUGCACUGUG